CCAGCUUCUGGUGGCCCCAGGCCAUCCCUGGCUUGCAGAUACGUGGCUCCCAUCUCUGCCUCGGUCUUCACAUGGGGCCUCCCGUCUAUGUCUCUCUGUGUGUCCCGUCCUCUUUUUACAGGGACACCAGUCAUUGGAUAAGGGCUAAUGAUCCUAAUCCAGUGUGAGCUCAUCUUAAUUAAUUACAUCUGCAAAUGCCCCAUCUCCAGUUGCAGAGUCAAACCCAUCCUGGUAUCAACCUGCUUUUAGUACUUCCAGAUUCGUAAGUCAAGAAAUCCUCCUUCCUGCUUGUACCAGUUGGCAGUGGGUUUUCUGGCAUUUGUACCUGCAACCACCAUUCUACUCUCUGUUUGAAUGAGUUUGAAACAUCCACAUCUGAGUGAGGUCAAUGCCGGUGAACAGAGAGACAGAGGGAAAGAAUUUCAGAAUAUCCUUAAAAAUCGCAGCACCUGGCAGAUCCUGCCUCACACCUCAAGGGCCUGUGUGGGGUCCUAGGUUCAUCCCUGAUCCAUCUCAGAGGUGCGGCGAUCACUGAUCCAUCUCGGAGACUUUUGAGCUUGGACCUGACAUUUGCCACUUCCUCUCCUCCUCACUGGAGACAGAGUGCAAUCUGUUUCUGCAAAGCAAGAGCACUUUAAGAGGGUGGAAGGGCACUCAUCUGUGUCAGGGUCAUGUCUGUGUGCAGAUCCCCCAAGGUCAUUGUUGAGAGAAAGGGGAAGAUGUUGGGGAGGCCGGGCAAGCAUGUGCCGGCUACCCUCACACUUGCACAUAGCAUAUGUCAAGUCACC
rnacentral:lncRNA from 10 species